rnacentral:rRNA from 1 species
GACGAACGCUGGCGGCGUGCCUAAUACAUGCAAGUAGAACGCUGAAGCCUAGCUUGCUAGGUGGAUUAGUGGCGAACGGGUGAGUAAUACGUGAGUAACCUACCUUUAACUCUGGGAUAAGCCUGGGAAACUGGGUCUAAUACCGGAUACGACCAAUCUCCGCAUGGGGUGUUGGUGGAAAGCGUUAUGUAGUGGUUAUAGAUGGGCUCACGGCCUAUCAGCUUGUUGGUGAGGUAACGGCUCACCAAGGCGACGACGGGUAGCCGGCCUGAGAGGGUGACCGGCCACACUGGGACUGAGACACGGCCCAGACUCCUACGGGAGGCAGCAGUGGGGAAUAUUGCACAAUGGGCGCAAGCCUGAUGCAGCGACGCCGCGUGAGGGAUGACGGCCUUCGGGUUGUAAACCUCUGUUAGCAGGGAAGAAGAGAAAUUGACGGUACCUGCAGAGAAAGCGCCGGCUAACUACGUGCCAGCAGCCGCGGUAAUACGUAGGGCGCGAGCGUUGUCCGGAAUUAUUGGGCGUAAAGAGCUUGUAGGCGGUUUGUCGCGUCUGCUGUGAAAGGCCGGGCUUAACCCCCUGUAUGCAGUGGGUCGAGCAGACUAGAGUGCAGUAGGGAGACUGAAUUCCUGGGGUAGCGGGGGAUGCACGAUAUAAUAAGAGAAAAUAUGUGCGGUGGCGUGUGUGGUGUAGUGAGACGAGCAGGGAGGGCGGUGUGGAUAAGAGAAGUUUUAUUCGGCGAGAGCAACAGAUCAGUCUUAAUGUAUACUCUUCUCGGCUCGCCGCGGGGUGGGCAACUCAUAUUCUCUUGUUGGGUGGGUAGAUAGUAUAAGAACCAAUCAGAAUAACGAAGACAGACAGGGGGAGUCGCGUUGUCUUCGUAUUAGUGACGAGUAGCCGCAUUCUCUGUCCAGCAUAAAGGGAGACUAGUACUG